rnacentral:rRNA from 1 species
AUUGAACGCUGGCGGCGUGCUUAACACAUGCAAGUCGAUCGGUAACAGGUGUAGCAAUACAUGCUGACGAGAGGCGGACGGGUGAGGAACGCUUGGGAAUCUGCCUAUCAGCGGGGGACAACCCGGGGAAACCCGGGCUAAUACCGCAUACGCUCUACGGAGGAAAGCCGGGGACCGCAAGGCCUGGCACUGAUAGAUGAGCCCAAGUCGGAUUAGCUAGUUGGCGGGGUAACGGCCCACCAAGGCGACGAUCCGUAGCUGGUCUGAGAGGACGAUCAGCCACACCGGAACUGAGACACGGUCCGGACUCCUACGGGAGGCUG